AACAAGGACUACCUAGUCUCGCCUUCAAGAAAUCUUCUGCUAACCUCUCUGCCAGAAUGAAGUUUAAUCAUUCUUCUUUUCUGUUUUAUCCAGGAUUUUGUUAAACCAAAACCCAUCUUUUCACAGCAACUGGAAAGAAGUAGAAAAAAAGAAGGACUAGAAGUGGAUUGUUCCUUCCGUUCCAUAGAUGGUAGAACCUUGCAUAUCCUUGACUUCUUACUCAGCCUAGUCCUUACCUCGUGGUGGCUGCGGACAUCACACUUUGACAAGAUACAUUGUUUGGAAGACCUUUCUAACACCUACAGAAAGUGCUUGGGAGAGACUAACGAAGAUUAGGAAAACUAUAUCUAUUUUGAAGAUAAUGGGAGACAUAGUCUCACU